UACGGAAGGGGCUAGCGUUGUUCGGAAUUACUGGGCGUAAAGCGCACGUAGGCGGCGAUCUAAGUCAGAGGUGAAAGCCCGGGGCUCAACCCCGGAAUAGCCUUUGAGACUGGAUUGCUAGAAUCUUGGAGAGGCGAGUGGAAUUCCGAGUGUAGAGGUGAAAUUCGUAGAUAUUCGGAAGAACACCAGUGGCGAAGGCGGCUCGCUGGACAAGUAUUGACGCUGAGGUGCGAAAGCGUGGGGAGCAAACAGG
rnacentral:rRNA from 1 species